UAAUGCUCUUGGAAAUCUAUAUAAAGGCUAGGAUUCAUUAUUACAUUGUGUCAUUGUGUGUUCACAGAAAAACAAACUUCACAUAAAGCCAAAAAUAGCUUUCAAAGUAGCGAGGUCUUAGUCUUUUAUAUCCGUCAAUGGCUGCUGAACGAGGAUUUGGAGAUUUGCAACCUUCUAUUUGGAAGUAUGAAUAUAUUCAAUCACUGAGAAGUGAAUAUAAGGAAGAAUCAUACAUAAAGAAAAGGGAAGUGUUAAAGGAAGAAGUAAGAAUGAUGCUUUGCAGAGUGAAAUAUCAUGUUCAUCAACUUGAGCUGAUUGAUAUUUUACAGAGACUUGCAGUAGCUUAUCAUUUUAAAGAUGAAAUAAAGAGCAUCUUGGAUAAUAUUUAGUUAUUUACAACAUGGAAACGUUCAACACAAAGAAGACUUUGUAUGCUACAGCACUUGAAUUCAGGAUCUUAGACAGCACGGAUAUGAUAUAUCUGCAGAUGUGUUUGAUUUCUUUCUCAAAGAAACAAACAAUUUCGACGAACAUCAAUCUUCAAUUGGCAUUGAGGGAAUUUUGUCACUAUAUGAAGCCUCAUUUCAUUUAGUAGAAGAAGAAACUAUAUUAGAUGAGGCAAAAAAAUAUAGUUCAAAAAUUCUCAAAGAAUAUGUAAAAAGAAAUGAUGGUAGCUACAUAUCCCUCUUAAUCAAUCAUUCAUUGGAGUAUCCAUUACAUUGGAGGGUGACAAGAUGGGAGGCCCAUUGGUUCAUCAACACAUAUGAAAAAAGUCACAAUUUGAAUCCUACAUUUCUUCAGUUUGCUAAAUUGGAUUUCAACAUUGUUCAAAGCAUUCACCAAGAAGAGUUGAAGGAUAUGU